rnacentral:miRNA from 1 species
GCAGACACAUUCCAGCCAAUCAGCAGCAGACCCUCCCUCCCAGGCCCUCCCACCUCCUGGACAGCAUCCAUUUUACAUUCAUUGUGAAGCUGCAUUCUUAGUGAGCUGUCUAGGAGGUGGGAGAGUCUGGGAGGGAGGGUCUGCUGCUGAUUGGCUGGAAUGUGUCUG